rnacentral:lncRNA from 1 species
GGGAAGGAAAAGCACGACGGUUCAGACAGCAGUGACAGAGGAUUCUUCUCGAACAUAGCACACGGACUUUCUGGACAUCCGCCUGGAUACAAUCCUGGAUAUCCGCCUCCACCCGGAGCAUACCCACCUCAGAGCUACCCACCAGCACCUGCUCCAUAUCCUCCUUCGGGAUAUCCUCCUUCGGGAUAUCCUGCUCAAGGAGGGUAUGCUCCACAAGGAGGGUAUCCUCCACAAGGGUACCCUCCAUAUGGAUAUACACCGGCUGGAUAUCCUCCUUCUGGUGGUUACCCUCCAGCCGGUUAUCCUGGCCCUAGUCCAUCUGCUCCUCCACAACACGGUAUUCUGUCACACCCCAAUAAUCCCAUCUCGGAUAGAAAUGGUAUAUAAGAGACUUAGACACUAGUAAUAAUAACUGAGCUUAAGCAUUUUGGGCCGAUGUUUGGACCCAACAAGUUAUUGUUGCUAGUGGGCUGGUCGUUACAUAUUCAUAUUAUGUCUCUUGUGCGGUGUUAUAUUUUGUUGCAUCCCUGUAACAAAGUAUGCUGCGGCAUGCAUGUAGUGUUAUACAUUUGUAUUCGAGCGGCGUAGAUUUUAAAAUCUUUGUUUUUA